rnacentral:rRNA from 1 species
UGGGGAAUCUUGGACAAUGGGGGCAACCCUGAUCCAGCCAUGCCGCGUGAGUGAUGAAGGCCUUAGGGUCGUAAAGCUCUUUCGCCUGUGAAGAUAAUGACGGUAGCAGGUAAAGAAACCCCGGCUAACUCCGUGCCAGCAGCCGCGGUAAUACGGAGGGGGUUAGCGUUGUUCGGAAUUACUGGGCGUAAAGCGCACGUAGGCGGACCAGAAAGUUGGGGGUGAAAUCCCGGGGGCUCAACCCCGGAACUGCCUCCAAAACUAUUGGUCUAGAGUUCGAGAGAGGUGAGUGGAAUUCCAAGUGUAGAGGUGAAAUUCGUAGAUAUUUGGAGGAACACCAGUGGCGAAGGCGGCUCACUGGCUCGAUACUGACGCUGAGGUGCGAAAGUGUGGGGAGCAAACAGGAUUAGAUACCCUGGGUAGUCCACACCGUAAAACGAUGAAUGCCAGUCGUCGGGUAGCAUGCUAUUCGGUGACAC